GCGGCUCUAUGGACAAGUCCCUUGGAACAGGGCAUCGUAGAGGGUGAAAAUCCCGUACUUGCCAUGGAAGUACCGUGCUUUGUGAUACACGCUCCAAGAGUCGAGUAGUUUGGGAUUGCUGCUCAAAGUGGGUGGUAGACUCCAUCUAAAGCUAAAUAUCGGGGAGAGACCGAUAGCGAACAAGUA
rnacentral:rRNA from 14 species